rnacentral:rRNA from 1 species
AGACGACGCUGGCGGCGUGCCUAACACAUGCAAGUCGAGCGAGGAGAUCCUCGGGAUGAUCCUAGCGGCGGACGGGUGAGUAACACGUGGGCAACCUGCCUCAUAGAGAGGAAUAGCCUUCCGAAAGGGAGAUUAAUACCUCAUAACAUUGCAGUUUCGCAUGGAACAGCAAUUAAAGGAGCAAUCCACUAUGAGAUGGGCCCGCGGCGCAUUAGCUAGUUGGUGAGGUAACGGCUCACCAAGGCGACGAUGCGUAGCCGACCUGAGAGGGUGAUCGGCCACAUUGGGACUGAGACACGGCCCAGACUCCUACGGGAGGCAGCAGUGGGGAAUAUUGCACAAUGGGGGAAACCCUGAUGCAAGCAACGCCGCGUGAGUGAUGACGGCCUUCGGGUUGUAAAGCUCUGUCUUCAGGGACGAUAAUGACGGUACCUGAGGAGGAAGCCACGGCUAACUACGUGCCAGCCGCUGC